rnacentral:rRNA from 1 species
AGUGGCGGACGGGUGAGUAACGCGUGAGAAUCUGCCUUGGGGUCGGGGACAACCACUGGAAACGGUGGCUAAUACCGGAUAAGCCGAUUGGUGAAAGAUUUAUUGCCCGAAGAGGAGCUCGCGUCUGAUUAGCUAGUUGGUGAGGUAAGAGCUCACCAAGGCAGCGAUCAGUAGCUGGUCUGAGAGGACGAUCAGCCACACUGGGACUGAGACACGGCCCAGACUCCUACGGGAGGCAGCAGUGGGGAAUUUUCCGCAAUGGGCGAAAGCCUGACGGAGCAAGACCGCGUGAGGGAGGAAGGCUCUUGGGUUGUAAACCUCUUUUCUCAGGGAAGAAGCUCUGACGGUACCUGAGGAAUCACCUCGGCUAACUCCGUGCCAGCAGCCGCGGUAAUACGGAGGAGGCAAGCGUUAUCCGGAAUUAUUGGGCGUAAAGCGUCCGCAGGUGGCGAUUCAAGUCUGCUGUCAAAGCACGGGGCUUAACUCCGUAAAGGCAGUGGAAACUGAAUAGCUAGAGUGCCGUAGGGGUAGAGGGAAUUCCCGGUGUAGCGGUGAAAUGCGUAGAGAUCGGGAAGAACAUCGGUGGCGAAAGCGCUCUACUGGACGGCAACUGACACUCAGGGACGAAAGCUAGGGGAGCGAAUGGGAUUAGAUACCCC